CGAAACACUGGGCCGCCUGCAGCGGAGUGCGAGAACUUAACCACUGGGCCACGGGGCCAGCCCCUGCUGUGCCUUUUCUAUGUAUUGAUUUCUCGCUCUCUUUGAAUUGAUUUAAUUUCUAAAAUUUUUCUUCUGUUAGUUUUCAAGUUAUAAAUAUGAUUUUUAUUAUUUUACUGGUUUCCCUACUUUAUCAAAGUCUCAAGUUAAUUGGUACUUAUGCUUUUUUCCUAGAGAGUUCCUAUUUACCUCUUCCUGACUUCUAGGUUAUUAUUGUUAUGUGCAGUAUUUAAAUUAUACAUAUGUUUAAAGCCAUUACAUAUUAUCAUUGUUUUAUAUGUCCUUUAUUUAUUUGGAGCUACCCACAUACUUAUUAAUCUAUGCCUCAUUAAUCCCUAAUCCGCUUUUGCUUCUCCAUCCUGUUAUCUGGGACGUCCCCUGUCUUCCUAAAACAUAGCCCUUGCUAUUAACCUUUAGCUUGCUGUGUUAAUGAUGCAUCUCAGGGGCUUUUUUCUAUAAACGUUUUCAUUCCUCUUCUGAAAGAUAUUUUUGCUUGGUAUAUAACUCAACUUUGUCCUUAUAUCUUUCAGCACAUUAAAGCUGUCUUUCCAUUGUGAUCCAGCUUCCAUUUUGGCUGUUGAGAAAUUAGGGUGGCAGCACACUGGUCCUGGCCCGGUGACUCAGCACAUACAUGAGGGUCAUCACACUGUUGAAGGAGUCCAAAAAGCGUUCUGGCAGCUGAGGCUCCAAAAUGCCUGCCAGCAGAUGUUUCUGUAUAAAAACAGAAAGAGAAAGAGAGAGAGAGAGCUCACAUUGCCUGGUUCCUGUAUGCAAAAGUUUCAACUACCACGGCUUAAAGAAGACCAGUAGUCCCACAAGGUGGUUUUCAUGUCCGUGACCCCAGUGUAGAAACUGUGCUGCUGCCUGUUCAAAGUUUCUGCUACCUGUUCAGUCUGCAGAUCACUACCUAGAUCAAGAAGGCACAUCAUGAUCAGUGACAACAGCGAUCUGUCGGUGGUUACUCAGGGCAUAUCUGUUUUUCACGUCACACAGACGACAAAAUGUGUUGUUUUGUUGCCAUCUUGUCUCCCCCCUGAAAUGGAUAAUCGAAAGAGGGAAUUGCCCAAGAAAGAUGGAAAUGCAGCAAAGAAGUGAAAAGUGAUGAUGCGAGAAGUGAGCUUGGAUGUGAUUAGGAGACAGCUGAGCAGGGGUAGGAUGAUGCUGUUUGAGACACUGUAGGUGUGUGACCAGAGGAGCUUCAUGAAGGCGAGCUUACCAACAUGAACGAGCCCAGGCUGAAGACGUCCCAGGGGAGGUGACGCUGGUGAAAACUUGGACGUUAAGGGAACUCUGAAACAUCACACGACAGUGAAAGUGCGAAGAAUGCAAUGUUGAAAGCUGAUCAAAAGUUAGAAAGGACUAGGGCAAUCCAUCAAGUCAUAGAAAAUAUACAAUGCGAAGAGGUAAGCACUGUUGAAACUGCUCUUUUUUAUUGAGGUAACGUUGCUUUAUAGCAUUGUGUGGAUGUCAGGUGCACAGCAUUAUAUUUCACUUUCUGUAUUGAUUACAUCGUGUUCCCCACCAGAAGUCUAGUUGCCAUCCGUCGUUGUACCCAUGUGCCCUUUUACCCUCCCUCAACCCCGUUCCCCUCUGGUAACCAUCAGUU